rnacentral:lncRNA from 10 species
GGGACGUCCGGGGGCCUGUGACCCGGAGGCGCUGGGGCUGUCCUGGGUCGUCACAUGCGAGAAAUCGUCUCACCCCAGCCAGUGUGACGGAGUGAGAGCAAAAGAAAGUUUUGAUAGCAGCGUACGAUUUAUAUUCAGCUGUAUGCUGGGCAGGUCCAACUUGGCAUUUCUUGGCUGUAUCUCUGAAGGAAAGUCAUCUUAAUCUCUAUGAGCCUCCAUUUCCUCAGCUGUAAAAUGGGAAGAUCUUCCUCACACUGCUGUGGAAGCGGAUUUUCUGACGCAUAUGAAGAGUGAGAACUGUCUACAUCUAAGUCUUCUUUGAGAACAAUACCAGCUGAGCGGCUAUUUACAUUCCAGCUUCUUUUGAGAAUCUCUGAAGAUGAUUAAGUCAUUGUCAGCUGGCCCAGAACCAUAUCCUGCUCCACAAGCCUCGUCCUUGGCAAGAAGUUGCACCUGCCCAGAGAGAAAACCUUUUGAAACUGGCACAAAGGCACUGGAGAGACUGGCAGGGCCCCCUACUUGACGAUCUGGCUCAUCCAUCUGCACACUGACCACGCUAAGAGCUGUCUGCAGUGAUGGAAACCUUCUCUAGCUGUGCUGUCCUCUAUAGUGGCACCAGCUGCCUGUGGCUACUGAGCACUUCAACUGUGGCUGCAGAGACUAUGUUAAAUUGUAUUUAAUCAUAAUUAAUUUAAUUGUAAACAACUACAUGUGGCUAGUGGUUUCUGUACUGGGCACUGCAGGUGCACAUUUCCUGCUGGCCAUGGACAGUAAGCUCCAUAAGAGACUAAUUGUGCCUG